rnacentral:rRNA from 1 species
GAAGUUGGAUUCGCUAGUAAUCGCGCAUCAGCCAUGGCGCGGUGAAUACGUUCCCGGGCCUUGUACACACCGCCCGUCAAGCCAUGGGAGCUGGGGGUGCCUGAAGUUCGUGACCGCAAGGAGCGUCCUAAGGUAAAACCGGUGACUGGGGCUAAGUCGUAACAAGGUAAC